rnacentral:rRNA from 1 species
GACGAACGCUGGCGGCGCGCCUCAUACAUGCAAGUCGAGCGAGAACCAGGGCUUGCCCUGGGGAGAGCGGCGAACGGGUGCGUAUCACGUGAGCAACCUGCCUCAGAGACCGGGAUAACUCGAGGAAACUCGGGCUAAUACCGGAUGCCCUCGGUGGAUCGCAUGGUCCGGCGAGGAAAUGGAUUCCGCUCUGAGAUGGGCUCGCGGCCUAUCAGCUUGUUGGUGGGGUAACGGCCUACCAAGGCGACGACGGGUAGCUGGUCUGAGAGGACGAUCAGCCACACUGGGACUGAGACACGGCCCAGACUCCUACGGGAGGCAGCAGUAGGGAAUCUUGCGCAAUGGGCGAAAGCCUGACGCAGCGACGCCGCGUGCGGGAUGAAGGCCUUCGGGUCGUAAACCGCUUUCAGCAGGGACGAAAUUGACGGUACCUGCAGAAGAAGGCCCGGCCAACUACGUGCCAGCAGCCGCCGUAAAAC